rnacentral:lncRNA from 1 species
GCUUCCCCAAAACUUGCAGUGUUGUCUCUCUGUAGGUUUAUGUCUCUGAAAAUUCCUUCCAUCAUUUGGCUGAAGUAUGGGGAAGAAGCCACUGUGGACAGAGUAUCCACCCACCACCUGCACUGGAAGCCGCUGCAUUUCGAACUUGUAUUAUGUGGGCAGUUUCUAAAAUUGGCGUGGCACAGCAUUUGCUAUAGCUUCUCAAAUAUUUUUUGAAAAAUGAAUGACUCCCUCCACC